GCAACUUUAGCUCAGUUGGGAGAGCGUCAGACUGAAGUCCACUUCAACUCCAGCACAUGCCCUUCCUCGGAAGGGGAUUGCAAUCUGAAGGUCACCCGUUCGAUCCGGGUAAGUUGCA